GCGAUCAUAUCACACUAAUGCACCGGAUCCCAUCAGAACUCCGCAAUUAAGCGUUUUUAGGCAUGAGUAGUAUUAGGAUGGGUGAACCCUAGAAAGUCCUCGUGUUGCACCCC